rfam:Felis catus isolate Cinnamon breed Abyssinian chromosome F1, whole genome shotgun sequence.
GCCUGGGUGGCUCAGUCCAUUAAGCGUCUGACUUCAGCUCAGGUCAUGAUCUCACGGCUCGUGAGUUCGAGCCCCACACCGGGCU